rnacentral:lncRNA from 1 species
GUGAAAAAUUAUAACGACAGCUAACGGAAUGGUGUACGUUACUUGAAAAUCAACUAUGUUCGAAAUUGUACUGUUAAGGUCAUGUACACUUGAACUUUUCCAAAUAGCAUUUAAAACAGCCAACAUCCAUACAACUAUGAAUGAUAUCAGGACAACACACGUGUUCAAAAUCAGCUUUGCUUUUAAGGGAUGAACAAUUAC